UCCUUGGUGUCUCAGACAGUAAAGAAUCUGCCUUCAAUGCAAGAGACCUAGGUUUGAUCCCUGAGUCAAGGAG
rnacentral:tRNA from 1 species